GGAACACAAAAAGAAUAGAUACAAAGAGUAGUAAAUUAGAUUUUUAUUUCAAAUUAAAAACUUGUUUUUCUAAAGAAAUGUAUCUACAUGAAUCUUUAAACAAUUUUUUGAUGAAGUGUCGUCAUAUGUAAAAUCAGAAUCAGUGCCCACGAUCUCAAAAUAGAAAGAGACAAGAUAUAAAACUUUGUAUAUAGCAAGAGACCA
rnacentral:lncRNA from 1 species